UCCCUAGUGGCUCAGAAGGUAAAGCGUCUGUCUGCAAUGCAGGAGACCUGGGUUCGAUCCCUGGGUCAGGAA
rfam:TPA: Bos taurus chromosome 14, whole genome shotgun sequence.